GCAUAUCAAUAAGCGGAGGAAAAGAAACUAACAAGGAUUCCCCUAGUAGCGGCGAGCGAAGCGGGAAGAGCUCAAAUUUAUAAUCUGGCACCUUCGGUGUCCGAGUUGUAAUCUCUAGAAAUGUUUUCCGCGUUGGACCGCACACAAGUCUGUUGGAAUACAGCGGCAUAGUGGUGAGACCCCCCGUAUAUGGUGCGGACGCCCAGCGCUUUGUGAUACAUUUUCGAAGAGUCGAGUUGUUUGGGAAUGCAGCUCAAAUUGGGUGGUAAAUUCCAUCUAAAGCUAAAUAUUGGCGAGAGACCGAUAGCGAACAAGUACCGUGAGGGAAAGAUGAAAAGCACUUUGGAAAGAGAGUUAACAGUACGUGAAAUUGUUGGAAGGGAAACGCUUGAAGUCAGACUUGCUUGCCGAGCAAUCGGUUUGCAGGCCAGCAUCAGUUUUCCGGGAUGGAUAAUGGUAGAGAGAAGGUAGCAGUUUCGGCUGUGUUAUAGCUCUCUGCUGGAUACAUCUUGGGGGACUGAGGAACGCAGUGUGCCUUUGGCGGGGGUUUCGACCUCUUCACACUUAGGAUGCUGGUGGAAUGGCUUUAAACGACCCGUCUUGAAACACGGACC
rnacentral:rRNA from 1 species